rnacentral:rRNA from 1 species
GAUGAACGCUGGCGGCGUGCCUAAUACAUGCAAGUCGAGCGAACAGACGAGGAGCUUGCUCCUCUGACGUUAGCGGCGGGCGGGUGAGUAACACGUGGAUAACCUACCUAUAAGACUGGGAUAACUUCGGAAAUCCGGAUCUUAUACCGGAUAAUAUAUUGAACCGCAUGGUUCAAUAGUGAAAGACGGUUUUGCUGGCACUUAUAGAUGGAUCCGCGCCUCAUUAGCUAGUUGGUAAGGUAACGGCUUACCAAGGCAAGGAUGCGUAGGCGACCUGAGAGGGUGAUCGGCCACACUGGAAGUGAGACACGGACCAGACGCCUACGGGAGGCAGCAGUAGGGAACCUUCCGCAAUGGGCGAAAACCUGACGGAGCAACGGCGCGCGAGUGAUGAAGGUCUUCGGAUCGUAAAACUCUGUUAUUAGGGAAGAACAAAUGUGGAAGUAACUAUGCACGUCUUGACGGUACCUAAUCAGAAAGCCACGGCUAACUACGUG